rnacentral:lncRNA from 1 species
GAGGUGGAUGUGAGCUUGGAAGGUAGCAUUAUACUAUGCCGACAAGUUGAUCAGCCAGGUAUGAUUGGCAAGGUUGGAAGCGUGUUGGGAGUAGAGAAUGUCAAUGUCAGCUUCAUGAGUGUUGGAAGGAUUGCUCCACGAAAGCAAGCUGUCAUGGCAAUUGGAGUUGAUGAGCAACCCAGCAAAGAAACUUUGAAAAAGAUUGGCGAUAUCCCAGCCGUUGAAGAGUUCGUUUUCCUCAAGUUAUAGGGUGGCUUUGUCAUUUUGCUAAUUUUUUUCCAUGGCAAUUCUACUGGAGUGGGUAUCAUUACUUCAUUGU